AUGCCAGGAGGUGGUGAGAAGUGCGGUCUGAGAAGCAGCAAGGCUCGAGGAGGAAUGAGGGUUUUGCAAGUCAAAAGCGAGGAUCUUAAAAUGAAGUUCCUCAAAGAUGGGUAGGGGUGUGAUGUUGAUGAUGGCAGUAUGGAGAAUAGAGUAGUCAAGGCCAAGACCACGAAUGACUGUGGUGAUGAAAUAUUCAAGAUCCACAAGGUGACCAAUACUGGUGAGUUUAUUAGCCAAUGUUUUAGCUUGCUGUAGGUAUUCAAGCAUAGGGGUGGACCUCUUGGUUAAAUCAAGAAGUUGGUAGCAGAGAGUGGCAAAGUUGGUGACAGACGGCUGAGCAAAAGCGGCGUUGAAGACACUCCUAAAGAGCCUGAGCCGAGUCAUAACCCACAGUGAGAGCAAGGAUAGGUUCAGUAAGGGUGGAAGUGAUAUAGCUAACCACCAAUUGGUCUUGUUGGAACCAUUUGAGAUAGUCGAGAUUCGAGGUUGUGGAUGAGGUGAUUGUAGCAGUAGCAGAGGAACCAUCCGAGUCAGAAGUAGGGGUGGGUGGUACAGUAAUGGUGGGAGGAGGUUGGGGAAAGAAGCCAUCGACAAACUUCUAGAGGUUGUGACCAAUAAGAAACAUCUUGAUUUGACGAAGCCAGGUGAGGUAAUUUGAGUCAGUGAGUUUAAGAAAUUGGGCUACGUUCGGUCCGAGAAAAGAGGAAGAAGCAGGGGUUGACAUGGAUAUGAAGAGGGUCAGGAUCGAAGAAGGGAUGAUACCAUGUAGAAUUCUAAAUUAAGUCACUGCCUCUGCAUCACCUUUGGUACCUACUCAACCAUCUCUACAACUAUGGCGCAUAGAUUCUGGUACAACUAGCCACAUGAUUGCUGAUUUGAACAAUUGUCAUUGGCAACUCCAUUUCCAUCAAAUGAAAUGAUUUAGACAACAAGUGGACAAAGCCAUAAGGAGAAUACAGUCCAAUGGUCUCUGCAAUAAUGGAUUGUACCCUUAUCUCUUUUUCUAUACCUUUAUCUCAUUCACAGAAAGCUUUUUAGGCUAUUGCAUACCUUGGCAAUUGAGUAACCUCUAGUCUUUGGCAUAGCAGAUUAGACCACCUUUCUAAUCUUGUUGUUUCUCUAAUGCUUAAAAAGACCAAUAAUACCCCAAUAAUACCUAUUGUUCUUGAUUCUUCACCUACGUUGUGCUUUACUUGUAUAGAGAAUAAAAUUAGCAAAUUACCAUUCCCUUCUGCUAUGGAUACGUCUAUUACACCAUUUGAGGUUGUG
rnacentral:sRNA from 1 species